rnacentral:rRNA from 1 species
GUGGGGAAUUUUGGACAAUGGGCGAAAGCCUGAUCCAGCAAUGCCGCGUGUGUGAAGAAGGCCUUCGGGUUGUAAAGCACUUUUGUCCGGAAAGAAAUCUGUCUGGCUAAUACCUAGAUGGGAUGACGGUACCGGAAGAAUAAGCACCGGCUAACUACGUGCCAGCAGCCGCGGUAAUACGUAGGGUGCGAGCGUUAAUCGGAAUUACUGGGCGUAAAGCGUGCGCAGGCGGUUUUGUAAGACCGAUGUGAAAUCCCCGGGCUUAACCUGGGAGCUGCAUUGGUGACUGCAAGGCUAGAGUGCGUCAGAGGGGGGUGGAAUUCCGCGUGUAGCAGUGAAAUGCGUAGAGAUGCGGAGGAACACCGAUGGCGAAGGCAGCCCCCUGGGAUGACACUGACGCUCAUGCACGAAAGCGUGGGGAGCAAACAGGAUUAGAUACCCUAGUAGUCC